UGAGGAAUAUUGGUCAAUGGGCGAGAGCCUGAACCAGCCAAGUAGCGUGCAGGAUGACGGCCCUAUGGGUUGUAAACUGCUUUUAUGUGGGGAUAAAGUGCGUGACGUGUCAUGCAUUGCAGGUACCACAUGAAUAAGGACCGGCUAAUUCCGUGCCAGCAGCCGCGGUAAUACGGAAGGUCCGGGCGUUAUCCGGAUUUAUUGGGUUUAAAGGGAGCGUAGGCUGUCUAUUAAGCGUGUUGUGAAAUUUACCGGCUCAACCGGUGGCUUGCAGCGCGAACUGGUCGACUUGAGUAUGCAGGAAGUAGGCGGAAUUCAUGGUGUAGCGGUGAAAUGCUUAGAUAUCAUGACGAACUCCGAUUGCGCAGGCAGCUUACUGUAGCAUAACUGACGCGGAUGCUCGAAAGUGGGGUAUCAAACAGG
rnacentral:rRNA from 1 species